rnacentral:ncRNA from 1 species
GUCGGCGUCGUGACGCUGCAACCCCAGAACGUAACACUGACGACCGAUCUGCCCGGACGUACCUCGCCCUAUCGCGUCGCGGACGUUCGCGCGCGCGUCGACGGCAUCGUGCUCAAGCGCGAUUUCACCGAAGGCGGUGACGUCAAGGCAGGGCAGCGUCUGUACAAGAUCGA